rnacentral:rRNA from 1 species
CCUUGCCAGCCCGCUCAGAACUUAAAUGAAUUGACGGGGCCGCACAAGCGGAGGAGCAUGUGGUUUAAUUCGAUGAUACGCGAGGAACCUUACCUGGGCUCGAACGUAAGAUGACUGUAGGUGAAAGCUUACAUCUCUUCGGAGCAUUUUACGAGGUGCUGCAUGGUUGUCGUCAGCUCGUGCCGUGAGGUGUCGGGUUAAGUCCCAUAACGAGCGCAACCCCUACCUUUAGUUGCCAUCAGGUUAAGCUGGGGACUCUAAAGGAACUGCCUACGCAAGUAGUGAGGAAGGCGGGGAUGACGUCAAAUCAGCACGGCCCUUACGUCCAGGGCUACACACGUGCUACAAUGGCCGAUACAGAGGGCAGCUACCUGGUGACAGGAUGCAAAUCUCCAAAGUCGGUCUCAGUUCGGAUCGGAGUCUGCAACCCGACUCCGUGAAGUUGGAUUCGCUAGUAAUCGCGCAUCAGCCAUGGCGCGGUGAAUACGUUCCCGGGCCUU